rnacentral:rRNA from 1 species
GACGUAGGGCGCGAGCGUUGUCCGGAUUUAUUGGGCGUAAAGAGCUCGUAGGCUGUUUGGUAAGUCGGAUGUGAAAACUCCGGCUCAACUCGGAGACGCCAUUCGAUACUGCCAUGACUAGAGUCCGGUAGGGGGGUGUGGAAUUCCCAGUGUAGCGGUGAAAUGCGCAGAUAUUGGGAGGAACACCAAUGGCGAAGGCAGCACCCUGGGCCGGUACUGACGCUGAGGAGCGAAAGCGUGGGGAGCAAACAGG